rnacentral:lncRNA from 1 species
CAGAUUCAUUCACAUAAUUUAGCUACCUAAGUUGAAUUGUCGGUUGAAAUCAAAACAACAGAAAGCAGUAAAAAUGCAACAAAAUGUUGACGGAGAAAACCCAACUGGGUAAAAACUCCGAGCACAAGCCAGUAGAGUCCACUAUAGAAGAUAUUGACUUACAAUACGCCAGACAUAAUUGAAUCUAACAAUGCUUUGACCUCCUUACUGUAUCAACCAAAGCUCUCCUGGAUUUUGCAGAUCUGCGCCAUAAUCCCAGCCUUGAAUUUCUUCUAUCUCCCGUGAAUCACCAAGCACUCCAAUUCUUCAAGCAGUUUCCUUCCCAGAUCUUCAAACAGAUGAUCGUCUGGAAGUUGAUAUGGAGAUUUGAAUGGUGCUUUGAUUUUGUGAAGGUUGAUAUUUUUCUCUAAUAGAGCAUAAGAUGAAAAGAAAAAAAAAUUUGGCUCUAGAUCCUUUGGUUGUCGAGAGAAAUUUUUAUUUGUGUGUUUUCCAAAGGUUAUAAAUGAAAAACAGAAUUUUUGUUUAUAUAGUAGGUCGUUUUUGGUAGUAUGGAGCGUUUAAAAUUCGCGAGGAAGGAAAAUUAACAAAAGUCAGAUAGCACUGUCACUCGAGUGAAGUGCUGGCGAAACUCGAGCGACCCCUCAGCGAAACUCUAGCGACAACAGUUCUGUUAUUUAGGCUCGAGAGAGGUAGGGCGAAACUCUAGCGAGAUCGCACCGUUUGCAUCUUCAAAGCGUCCAACUUUACCCUAGACCUAUGCUAUAAACUUUGCAAAAUUGCAACACAAGUCCCUGAACUUUUUGGACCUUUACAAUUAAGUCCUUGACUUUACAAACUUGACAAAUUGGUCCUUUGGUCACAGAUUGCCAAUUACAACAUUUUCCUAACAAACUCCCCCUUUGGCAUUCUGUGACAAAAUUAAUAAGAUAGUCAAGGACAAAAGUAAAUCUGACUCUAAACGACCUAUCUCUUCAACCAAAGCAGCUAUCUCUUAUUGAACCUGUUUCCUGAAAUACAGAAACUCAAAUACCAAGUGUAAAUGCAUGUGAAAUGGAAACAGUAAAUAAAAACAAGGAAUAGUGCAUAUGUCAUUAACCAGAUUAAGAAGCAAUAUUAAUGUAAGUCAAAAAUAUAC